rnacentral:lncRNA from 1 species
CCCUUGUAUAUAUGCUUGUUUAGUUUAUGAGAUGGUUCUUACCUCUUGGCUGGUGGUUGUGCUUCCGCUGAUUUAGGCAUGUGUCUUUCUGCUUCAUGGUGACUUUAGCCUUCUGGUGAUUAUUGUGCCUCUGGCCUGCUUUCUUGGUUUUUUUGCGUUAGUGUUUGAUCACGUUCCUUUGUGUUCGGGGAUUGCUUUGUCUCAAAUUUUAUCUUUCUAACAUUCUCUAACUUCAGCUUGUUCUGGCCAAGAUAUUCUAUGGCAAGGUGAUGUAAGUUAGUUUUCGUUCUUGAUCUCCUUUCAGCUCCGGACCUUUAUUGAGUUAGUGUUAUUAUGGCAUUUUCAGUUUUUUUUUUCUUUUUUUGUGAUUGUGUAGGUUUUAGGUUUAGAUUAUGUGUCUGCUUGUUUCUUCUUCUUAGUUUGGUUAUUUUAUAAUUUUU